UCCCUGGUGGCUCAGAGGUUAAAGCGUCUGCCCUCAAUGCUGGAGACCCGGGUUCGAUCCCUGGGUUGGGAA
rnacentral:tRNA from 1 species